GACGAACGCUGGCGGCGUGCUUAACACAUGCAAGUCGAACGGAAAGGCCCUGCGCUUGUGGGGUGCUCGAGUGGCGAACGGGGGAGUAACACGUGAGUAACCUGCCCUUGACUUUGGGAUAACUUCAGGAAACUGGGGCGAAUACCGGAUAGGAGCUCCUGCUGCAUGGGGGGGGUGGGAAAGUUUCGGCGGUUGGGGAUGGACUGGCGGCUUAUCAGCUUGUUGGUGGGGUAGUGGCGUACAAAGGCUUUGACGGGUAGCCGGCCUGAGAGGGUGACCGGCCACAUUGGGACUGAGAUGCGGCCCAGACUCCUACGGGAGGCAGCAGUGGGGAAUAUUGCACAAUGGGCGGAAGCCUGAUGCAGCAACUCCGCGUGCGGGAUGACGGCCUUCGGGUUGUAACCCGCUUUCGCCUGUGACGAAGCGUGAGUGACGGUAAUGGGUAAAGAAGCACCGGCUAACUACGUG
rnacentral:rRNA from 1 species